rnacentral:rRNA from 1 species
UACGUAGGGGGCAAGCGUUGUCCGGAAUCAUUGGGCGUAAAGCGCGCGUAGGCGGCCCGGUAAGUCCGUUGUGAAAGUCAAAGGCUCAACCUUUGAACGCCGAUGGAUACUGCCGGGCUAGAGUCCGGAAGAGGCGAGUGGAAUUCCUGGUGUAGCGGUGGAAUGCGCAGAUAUCAGGAGGAACACCAGUGGCGAAGGCGGCUCUCUGGGGUAUUUCUGACGCUGAGGCACGAAAGCCAGGGGAGCGAACGGG